rnacentral:rRNA from 1 species
AGUGAACGCUGGCGGCGUGCCUAAUACAUGCAAGUCGAACGAAGUGGCGCACGGGUGAGUAAUAUAUAGUUAAUCUGCCCUACACAGAGGAACAACAGUUGGAAACGACUGCUAAUACCUCAUAGUGUAGGAUGAGACUAUAUCGUAUCAGCUAGUUGGUAAGGGAAUGGCUUACCAAGGCUAUGACGCGUAACUGGUCUGAUAGGAUGCGCAGUCAAAUUGGAGCUGAGGCACGGUCCGGGCACCUACCGGAGGCGGCUCGAGGGGAAUGUGCGCAGUGGGCGAGUACCUGCCGCGGCUACGCGUCGUGAAGGAUGUCGCUCUUGGGAGCGUAAACUCCUUUGAUCAGGCGAGCGGUACCUGCUGAAUAAGCACCGGCUAACUCCGUGCCAGCAGCCGCGGUAAUUC